rnacentral:rRNA from 1 species
UGCGCCUUGCCAGCCCGCCUCAGAAACUACAAAGGAAUUGGACGGGGGCCCGGCACAAGCGGAGGAGCAUGUGGUUUAAUUCGAUGAUACGCGAGGAACCUUACCUGGGCUCGAACGUAAGAUGACUGUAGGUGAAAGCUUACAUCUCUUCGGAGCUAGUUUUACGAGGUGCUGCAUGGUUGUCGUCAGCUCGUGCCGUGAGGUGUCGGGUUAAGUCCCAUAACGAGCGCAACCCCUACCUUUAGUUGCCAUCAGGUAAUGCGUGGGGACUCUAAAGGAACUGCCUACGCAAGUAGUGAGGAAGGCGGGGAUGACGUCAAAUCAGCACGGCCCUUACGUCCAGGGCUACACACGUGCUACAAUGGCCGAUACAGAGGGCAGCUACCUGGUGACAGGAUGCAAAUCUCCAAAGUCGGUCUCAGUUCGGAUCGGAGUCUGCAACCCGACUCCGUGAAGUUGGAAUCGCUAGUAAUCGCGGAUCAGAACGCCGCGGUGAAUACGUUCUCGGGGUUU